rnacentral:rRNA from 1 species
UACAGAGGGUGCAAGCGUUGUUCGGAAUUACUGGGCGUAAAGCGUGCGUAGACGGCUAUCUAAGUCGGGUGUGAAAGCCCCGGGCUCAACCUGGGAAUUGCAUUCGAGACUGAAUAGCUAGGGUACGGUAGAGGGAAGUGGAAUUUCCGGUGUAGCGGUGAAAUGCGUAGAUAUCGGAAGGAACAUCAGUGGCGAAAGCGACUUCCUGGACCAGUACCGACGUUCAGGCACGAAAGCGUGGGGAGCAAACAGG